CAAGUCGAGCGAGAAAGUGUAGCAAUACAUGAGUAAAGCGGCGCACGGGUGAGUAACACGUGGAUAACCUGCCUCAAAGUGGGGAACAACACCGGGAAACCGGUGCUAAUACCGCGUAUUCUGACGAGGUCUGCGGAUUUCGUCAGGAAAGGAGCAAUUCGCUAUGAGAGGGGUCCGCGGCUGAUUAGCUAGUUGGUGAGGUAAUGGCUCACCAAGGCCACGAUCAGUAGCCGGUCUGAGAGGACGGUCGGCCACACUGGAACUGAGACACGGUCCAGACUCCUACGGGAGGCAGCAGUGGGGAAUUUUUCGCAAUGGGGGCAACCCUGACGAAGCAAUGCCGCGUGGAUGAUGAAGUAUCUCGGUACGUAAAAUCCUUUCGACGGGGACGAAACCGCAAGGUUGACGGUACCCGUAGAAGAAGCCCCGGCUAACUCCGUGCCAGCAGCCGCGGUAAUACGGGGGGGGCAAGCGUUGUUCGGAAUUACUGGGCGUAAAGGGUGCGUAGGCGGUUCUCUAAGUCGGAUGUGAAAACUCUGGGCUCAACCCAGAGCCUGCAUCCGAAACUGGAGGACUAGGGUGCUGGAGGGGAAAGCGGAAUUCCUGGUGUAGCGGUGAAAUGCGUAGAUAUCAGGAGGAACACCGGUGGCGAAGGCGGCUUUCUGGACAGUAACCGACGCUGAGGCACGAAAGCUAGGGGAGCAAACAGGAUUAGAUACCCUGGUAGUCCUAGCCCUAAACUAUGGAUACUUGCUGUGGGGGGGAUUGAAGCCCCUUGUGGCGAACUAACGCAUUAAGUAUC
rnacentral:rRNA from 1 species